rnacentral:lncRNA from 1 species
GGAAGUAGAUAUGAAUCAAGACUGUCAUGAAGCUGGUUUUUAGAUGUCCAAGGUAGUGGACAUAGCAAGAUCUUCUGCAACAUUCACGAGUACUCAUAAGUUAUGAGUAUUGGAUUCAACCCACGCUCAUUUGAAUCACUUCAUGGAUUUUAUUACGAGUGAUUCAUGAGACGAUAAUAUCUUAUAUUUUUCAAACCUAGAGAUAUGAGUUGUUGACUAUGAGUUGGUUAUACAUUGAUUGCAAGAAAACACAUUGGUAACCCGAUGUUAUAAAAAGUGCCUUUGUGUAUGAUUCAACAAGUAGUUAGUACAAGAAUAUGCGUCUAAGUUUAUCCAUUCCUUUUACCUGAUAAGGAUAAAAGUGAUAUCUGUGGGCCCCUCAAUGAUUUAGUGAUGACACCCUAAGUGCUUGGCCAAGCCUGGACUGAUUUGAUUUGUUCAAUUAGUUGGUCGUCAUAAAUCAGAAAUAGGGAAACAACAAAUGGAUAGAGAGAAUGAUUAUAAUCCAUGUCUUAGUNCGUCAUAAAUUGGAAAUCGAGAAACAACAAAUGGACAGAGAGAAUGAUUAUAAUCCAUGUCUCAGUCCAUAUGAUAUCUAGAAUGGAGGAAUAUAUGAGCCCUUAUCUAAUGGAUGUGUCAUUGAUUUAUUCAGAGUUCGACAACGACUUUUAAGAGCUACGAUUGCUGGUCAGGUUGGAGUCAUACUUGCAAUAAUAGUUAUUAGACUUAUCCAAGUGGGAGACUGUUGGAUUAGUGUCUAAGUCCAUAACUAUAAUUGGUAUAUACUUGACCCGACCCGACAUGGUCCAUUUGGGUUGCAUGGCAUCGGAACAUCUGGAUAAACCUUUUGUGAGAAGAGGAUAUUUGUGACAUAUUUAUAUAUUAUAAGUUCUAAUAUACUAAUAUGAAAUCAUAUCAUUUAAUUAGUAUUGAUCAAGAAUUAAUUUGGAAUUAAUUUAGUGAUCAAAAGAGACUAAUUAAAUAUAUGGGGAUUGAUAAUGUAAAUCGUUCAUUCUUAUAUAUGUGGGCUUAUGAUCCAUGAUUUCUUAUGUUCGGUUUAACCCAUGUGGUGAUCCAUGGAUACUCCAUGGAGGUUAAAACCCAUGGAGCAUAAGGAAUGGGUAAAGUCAUGAGUUACAUAGUGUAACCCUAAUAGUCACACUAUAUAAAGACCCCAUUGGUUGGUGAAAUUGGCACUAUUGCAUACACAAGAGGGCAAGCCGAUUUCUAAGGGUCAAGUAUCUCUUCUCAUGGUUAUUCCAAAUGUUCAUGAUGUUGUGUGAACCAUUUGAGGUGUCACAUUUGGGGCACUAGGCUCUUAAGCUCCAUGGAAUCAAGCUACAACAAAG